GUGAACUCGGGGCACGCAGCCGGGGUACUCGGGGAGGUGCGGGGUGGGUCGGGGAUCAAUGGGCGGAAAGGGCGAGGAGGCGGCGCGGAAAGUCGUCGGCGAAAGCUCAGGGCUCAACUCUGAGUCGGCCGGUGGUACUCUCGCGCGCGAGCUCACUAGAGGCAGAUGGAAUUCCGGGUGUAGCGGUGGAAUGCGUAGAGAUCCGGAAGAACACCGGUGGCGAAGGCGGUCUGCUGGGGUGAGGCUGACGCUGAUGCGCGACAGCGUGGGGAGCAAACAGGAUUAGAUACCCCAGUAGUC
rnacentral:rRNA from 1 species